UGUGGUCAUUACCAAAACCCCAGUCAUCUUCUUGAAGGAGCCUUAGAUAGGAAACCAGAGAGUCAAGAUCCAGGUAAGCUGGCCAGUGAGGUGUGGUUCCUAUCCCCAGGAGACAACAGCCGCACUGACCAGCUGCUGGCAAUUUCUUCGGUCACCCUGCCUCUCAACUUCCAAAGCCCCAUGGUUUUCAGGUUUACCCACAUAUGACCCUUAUGUAAAUUUGCUUGUCCCAAGAACCCUUAACUCAUA
rnacentral:lncRNA from 1 species